rnacentral:misc_RNA from 1 species
ACGGAGGCCUUCUGAAAGGCCCAUGCGCUCUCGGGAUUUCCUGAGAGCAGGUCUGCUUCAGUGCUUAGCAUUAUCUACCUGUGCUUGCAAGCAGCAUGUAUGUCUGCAUUGCUGUUUCGCUUUCCAACAAGUCAUCGAUCGCUUUGGUGUUUGUAAAUGGCUUGUUUGCUGCCUGGCCCACGCSCCAAGCUUGGAGCGUACKGUUGUCCCAACCUUUGUUUGCAUGGGGCACCUCAACCCCCCACCUGUCGGAAGGCUAAGGCAGGCCCUAACCAUGAAUCCAAA